AAAAUCAGGCCCUCGCAGUUCCUAAUAAUGGGGAAUGAGGCCCCCCAGAUGCCUCAGAUUCCAGCUGAGUUGCUUUCACCGCGCCCACCCACCCCUCAGGAACAGGGUCCAAAUCAGGCGGUGUGAGUGACUCCUCCAGGCCUCCCGCGUGCCUUCCCACCACCCAUGUGCUUUCCUCGCCCGCACCAUCGCUAAUGGGGGGUCGAGAUCCGCUGAGAUGAGAGUGCCUGUGGGAAAUGAGCUGGAAAGGAAACAGACAACUACAACAAAAUGGCUCAAAAUCCAACCUUUCUAACCUGAAGAAUGGUUCCUUCCCUCUCAGUCACACAACCCCGCAACCCAGUGGCUGCACAAAAGGAGGGACAUUUUCUAAUUGCUCAAGGUAAAAUACCAGGAACUGCUUGGAUGAAUGGAAAAAAGCAGAGAUUCAUGAGCUGGAAUGGGAUGGCCUGGAAUGAAGUUGAAGACUUAGAUGGACUAGAAUUUUGUGAAUGGUAUAGUCAUCCCUGAAUAUCUGCCAGAGAUUGGUUCCAGGAGCCCCUAUGAAUACCAAAAUCUGCGGAUGCUCAAGUUCCUCAUGGAAAAUGUCAUAAUACAAUUGCUACAAUCAGCCAUUUUUAUCCACGUGUUUCACAUCUAUGGAUUUAACCAACUGCAGAUGAAUACCUGUUUAAGG
rnacentral:lncRNA from 1 species